UGUACGCUUGUGUAUAAACAAACUUGUGUCGCGUUGUGAAAGGUGGAACAUAAGAGUGAAUGUUUUGUUGAAAGUGUACAUAUUUCAGUCGUUUGCCGUGCUGGUGAAAAACCUAUAACUAUUGUUCGCGAAUAAAGAUGCUGCAGUGAUUCAGUGCAAUUACAGAUUUUUAACCUGGAAAAACUUCUCCUUUUUGUUAUUCAUUACUUAAUGCAAAUAUGGUACUUGUGUUCAAUGGAGUUGUACAAAAUGCACCUCCGCCUAACUUACACGCAUUUCUACAGAAUAAUCCUGAGAUAAGAGAACAGUCAGAGAAAUUUUUAGAGAUUCCAACAAAAACUGUAGGACCACAUGGACUACUCUAUGUUCACCAAGGAGAGCUUGCUGUCACUGAGCCUAAUGACUCAAAUGUAGAGGUCUUAGGAUCUGAUGAUGCAACGACAUGUAUUAUUGCUGUACUUAGACAUCCAGUUUGUGGGGCAGUAGCUCUGUCCCAUAUGGACGGUGGAGGAGUUGCAGACUGUGUGGCCAGAAUGAUUGAGAGUGUUAAGCAGAUUGCUGGUGGAAGCUCUGAUGGAAAGAUGGAAUUACAAGUGUUUGGAGCUUUUGGAUAUGCACAGAACUUUUCAGAGACAGUAUUUGCUUCUGUAAUGGUAACCUUCCAUAAACAUCCUGAAAAGGUUAAUGUCACACUUGCAUGUGUUGGAGAUAUCAACACAACUGUUAAAGAUGGCAAACACUGGCCAUCAUUGUAUGGAGUAGGAAUUAAUGUCAAGACUGGUGAAUUGUUUCCUGCUGUGUACAAAGACAGAGGACCAGAUGAAGGUCUACGGCAUGCACGACAGCUGUGUAGUAAACUAAGAAUGAUGGAAGUAUACAAUAAUGAGACAAGAAUGUUGAAGAUAGGCCCAUUUGAUUAUUCACCUUUGGAUGACGCAGAGAUGUGGCUGAAUCUACCUGAUGAAGUUAUUCUGCGUUACAUGAGCACAUCCCCUGAAGUUGAACCACCCCAUUUUGUGUCACAGGCUGCAGAUGGUCGGGAGGUUUCAGUGAUGUUGUGUCCCUCCCUGUGUAAUUGGUGAAGAAGAGUCGUGGACAAUCUCCAAAGCUAGCAUCAUUUUCCAGGAGCAAAAUUCGGAAGGCACUGAAAUGUAUGUUAGAUCACCCCUCUCCAAUUAACACAAUAUUCAAAUUCAACAAACCUCGGUGUUAUGUACGAGAU